rnacentral:rRNA from 1 species
UACGAAGGGGGCUAGCGUUGCUCGGAAUCACUGGGCGUAAAGCGCAACGUAGGCGGAUCUUUAAGUCAGGGGUGAAAUCCUGGAGCUCAACUCCAGAACUGCCCUUGAUACUGGGGAUCUUGAGUCCGGAAGAGGUGAGUGGAACUCCGAGUGUAGAGGUGAAAUUCGUAGAUAUUCGGAAGAACACCAGUGGCGAAGGCGGCUCACUGGCCGGUACUGACGCUGAGGAGCGAAAGCGUGGGGAGCGAACGGGG